rnacentral:lncRNA from 1 species
ACCUGUGAUAUCGUGGCCAAGUCUGUGCGCAGUGACCUCCAGCCGUACGUCCAGACCUUGCCAGUCACAGCCAAGAUAGAUGCCAUUGCUGGCGUUGAUUACUCCUUGGUGGGACCUCCGAUGGCUACCACCCAGUCCCUGGACGUGCCAAUGAAGGUGAGAGACUGCCCUGAGAAAGCUUGACUUGGCUGAUGCCAUCACUGCAGGCGAGUGGGGAACCAGGUUUAGGCACCUCCUGCAAAUGCUGUUUGCCAGCCUGCAUCAGUGGGUGAGUCCCACCACCCCCUGCUCUCCUGCUUCACCUCUCUCCAUCCUCCCAGGGUGAAUGCUAUUCCCUGGCCCAACGCUCCGCCGUCCCCUUCUCUCCACCGGCACUGACUUUGCCCCCGGAUCACGACCGCAUGGUUUACUUUGGGGUCUCCAGCUAUUUCUUCAACACAGCCAGCUUUGCCUACCACAAAUCUGGAGCGCUGGUCUUCGAAAUCACGGACUCCAUGAUCCCAAAGACUGUUGAGUUCCACUUGAAGACCACCACCUUCUCAGCCUUUAUUCCCCAGGUGAGUGGUCCAGCCUUCCCUGUGCAGGGCUCCUGCCGUGCACAGCUGGGGGUUUGCUCUGUGCAAGGUGGUGUCCCCCAGGAAAAGGGGUUUGUGCCACUGUCCCUACCAUCUCCCUGAUCCUCUGCAGCUGGAAG